rnacentral:rRNA from 1 species
CAGCCGCCGCGGUAAUACAGAGGGUGCGAGCGUUAAUCGGAUUUACUGGGCGUAAAGCGUGCGUAGGCGGCUUUUUAAGUCGGAUGUGAAAUCCCUGAGCUUAACUUAGGAAUUGCAUUCGAUACUGGGAAGCUAGAGUAUGGGAGAGGAUGGUAGAAUUCCAGGUGUAGCAGUGAAAUGCGUAGAGAUCGGAAGGAACAUCUGUGGCGAAGGCGACUAUCUGGGCCAACACUGACACUGAGGCACGAAAGCGUGGGGAGCAAACAGGAUUAGAUACCCGAGUAGUCCCUGUCUCUUAUAC